GACGAACGCUGGCGGCGUGCUUAACACAUGCAAGUCGAACGGAAAGGCCCUGCUUGCAGGGUACUCGAGUGGCGAACGGGUGAGUAACACGUGGGUGAUCUGCCCUGCACUUCGGGAUAAGCCUGGGAAACUGGGUCUAAUACCGGAUAGGAGCCAUUUUUAGUGUGAUGGUUGGAAAGUUUUUUCGGUGUAGGAUGAGCUCGCGGCCUAUCAGCUUGUUGGUGGGGUAAUGGCCUACCAAGGCGGCGACGGGUAGCCGGCCUGAGAGGGUGGACGGCCACAUUGGGACUGAGAUACGGCCCAGACUCCUACGGGAGGCAGCAGUGGGGAAGAUUGCACAAUGGGCGCAAGCCUGAUGCAGCGACGCCGCGUGGGGGAUGACGGCCUUCGGGUUGUAAACUCCUUUCGCUAGGGACGAAGCUUUUUGUGACGGUACCUAGAUACGAAGCACCGGCUAACUACGUG
rnacentral:rRNA from 1 species